rnacentral:rRNA from 1 species
GACGAACGCUGGCGGCGUGCUUAACACAUGCAAGUCGAACGGAAAGGCCCUGCUUUUGUGGGGUGCUCGAGUGGCGAACGGGUGAGUAACACGUGAGUAACCUGCCCUUGACUUUGGGAUAACUUCAGGAAACUGGGGCUAAUACCGGAUAGGAGCUCCUGCUGCAUGGUGGGGAUUGGAAAGUUUCGGCGGUUGGGGAUGGACUCGCGGCUUAUCAGCUUGUUGGUGGGGUAGUGGCUUACCAAGGCUUUGACGGGUAGCCGGCCUGAGAGGGUGACCGGCCACAUUGGGACUGAGAUACGGCCCAGACUCCUACGGGAGGCAGCAGUGGGGAAUAUUGCACAAUGGGCGGAAGCCUGAUGAAGCAACGCCGCGUGCGGGAUGACGGCCUUCGGGUUGUAAACCGCUUUCGCCUGUGACGAAGCGUGAGUGACGGUAAUGGGUAAAGAAGCACCGGCUAACUACGUG